rnacentral:rRNA from 1 species
UACGAGGGGGGCAAAUGUUGUUCGGAUUUACUGGGCGUAAGGGGCGCGUAGGCGGCGCGGUAAGUCACUUGUGAAAUCUCUGAGCUUAACUCAGAACGGCCAAGUGAUACUGCAGUGCUAGAGUGUAGAAGGGGCAAUCGGAAUUCUUGGUGUAGCGGUGAAAUGCGUAGAUAUCAAGAGGAACACCUGAGGUGAAGACGGGUUGCUGGUCUAACACUGACGCUGAGGCGCGAAAGCCAGGGGAGCAAACGGG